AUGUUUGCUUGAAUUGUAAAUCUUUAAUGAACUGAAAAUGACAUUGAAAGUUAUUUAUAUAUCGUACGAGAAAGUUUGAUUUGAAUAAUCAUUCUUACCGAGUAUUUCACAAUUAAAUCCACUCAACUAAUUAAUAAAUUAUGGAAUAACUAUGAAGGAUAAGAUUUGCAUUUACAGUUUCAAUUUUCAAGAGUAAAAUUGCAGUGACCUCAGCCUAGUUUUUUUUUUGUUAA